UUGGUACUCUGGGGGGCCACAGAAGGAGUGGUCUCGGCACGGCCGCUGCCAGGCUUUUCCUGCGAAUCCUUCA
rnacentral:lncRNA from 1 species